CCUACGGGGUGCAGCAGUGGGGGAUAUUGCACAAUGGGGGAAACCCUGAUGCAGCGACGCCGCGUGUGGGAAGACGGUCUUCUGGAUUGUAAACCACUGUCCCCAGGGACGAAAAUGACGGUACCUGGGGAGGAAGCUCCGGCUAACUACGUGCCAGCAGCCGCGGUAAUACGUAGGGAGCAAGCGUUGUCCGGAAUUACUGGGUGUAAAGGGAGCGUAGGCGGGGAUGCAAGUUGGGUGUCAAAACUAUCGGCUCAACCGAUAGUCGCACUCAACGUGGGAACUGCCUUUGAAACUGGCAAACUGGAGUGUGUGAGAGGAUAGUGGAAUUCCAGGUGUAGGAGUGAAAUCCGUAGAUAUCUGGAGGAACAUCAGUGGCGAAGGCGACUAUCUGGCACAUAACUGACGCUGAGGAGCGAAAGCGUGGGUAGCAAACAGGAUUAGAUACCCGAGUAGUC
rnacentral:rRNA from 1 species